AUGUUGUACAAAAACAAACAAGAAACCCCAAACCCAACAGCAAUACCAAACUAACCAAACAAAAACAACAGAAACUAAAACCACACCAGCAAAUAAAAAAUCUCCCAAAACAAAUAAAACCCAGCUGUGAUCCAAACUCCACAUAAUUGGAAUCCAUAGAAUGGCUUAGGAUGGAGGGGAACUCAGAGAUCAUCUAAUUCCAAUCUCCCUUUCACUGGCAAGGCUGCCAGCCACUAAAUCAGGCUGCCCAGGGCCUCAUCCAACCAUCCCUCCAAGGACAGGGCACCCACAACCUCUUUGGGCAGCCUGUGCCAGUGCCUCACUACACUCAGAUUACUUGCAGUACUCUGUAUCCAUACUAACAUAUGAUCUGUCUGUGGCUGGAAUCAAGCAUAUGAAUGUCUACACUUGACUAGACACACACACGCAGCCAGUUUGCCACAAGUAUUACUAACUCUUCUAUUAGCUGAUCUUACCUAGGUACACCAAAACUGGCUCCCUUGUUCAUAAGCAAAUUCCUUUAGAUAUAAAGGCCAAAUGGUUGACCAGUGAUUCUUUCUGCAUAUAACAUUCUGAAAGACCACAUAAAAGAUUUUUUUUAAGUAUUAUGUGAAAAUAAUUAAAGUAAUUAGUGGCUACACUGUUUAUUUAGAUCCAAAUAGUUCAACGCUGAUUAACUUUUAAGUAUUUGUAAGAGAGUUUAGGUCCCCAAAUCAUCUCAAUCUUGCUAAUACAAACUUCAUUCCUGCAGGAAUAUCUUGCUCGAAUGGCUUCAGCCUAUAAAAAUAAGCUUCCACAUCAAAACCCUUGAACUUUUCCCCUUCCUUUUAUGUUCCAAGAUUUUUAAAGUACUGCUGACAAGCCUCAAAGAUUAAUGUUUGCUUAGUUCUGGCACAAAAAAGGGAACAAAGUAGAAGGAAAAUUCAACCCUUUCCAAGAGCAAUGCUCCCUCUGCCCCAAACAGUAGCUGCACACACUCUAACCCCUUCCCCAUCUGUGAUGCUAUAAAACAAAAAUAACGUGAAAGGCAUAUUUGCAGCAGCCUUAGCCAAAAUGGAAGGUACGCUAUUUGGAAAUACACACUUAUCCACACAUACAGAAACUAUGUCAUGGAUUUUUCUUUUUAAUUAACUACAAAAGAGGUUAGUUUCACACAACAGCAGAACGUUACCACUUUGAAACACAUCUCCGAACCUAAUGUAAACUGGAAACCCAGCUAAGGAAGUUAAAAGUAGGGAAUAUUUGAGAAACUGCAACUCAGUCUCCAACAACCACUGCUUUAGACUCUUUUAUAGCUCAACUGAAUACCGUCCACUAAAUUUAAAAGUAAUUUUAAGGUCAUAAAGCCUACAUGCUGCUCCAAUAGAUUAUAUUUUAAAGCUUUACCAUAAAACUCAAGUAGGCACAUUUUAAGUCCUAAGAAUGGACUGAAGUUAUAAAUGAAAAUUAAAUAAUAUACAGCAGUGCAUAAUCAAAAGAAUAUGACUACUUCUGCCUCUUGAAAUCGGUCCUACAGCUACAGCACACUCAUGCUAAGAACCCAUUAAUCUCAGAAGCAGCCAGGUUAAACUGAUACUUCAAGGUUCCCUAGGUUUCCAAAAUUAAGUUUUUCUACAUUUCUGAAGUUGUCCUACUUCAGAGGUUUGAAUUUUGGACAGUCCUGAAUGGGUCCAGGCACUGGACUCAAUGAUCCUUGUGGAUCUCUUCCAACUUGGGAUAUUCUACAACUCUAUGAGGAAACAAGUGAACAGCACGUAUGUCAACAAAGCCAGCAACUUCAGAAGCAGGUAUUCAACUAUAUAAACAACCCGCCUAAUGUGUAUUCCAUUGUACUGUAACCAGGCUUUCAACCAUGUUUUGUUCCUUUGCCUGUAAACAGGUACGUGUAAAAGUUAUCUUGUGACACACUGUCCAAACACCAGCGUUGGCAACAGUUUCCACAUCCAGCUCAGAAUGUAAAGCACAGCUCAGCUUUGUAGCAGGAGAACACUGGGAUGCUGCCAUACAGAGAACCUGGAGAAAGCCCCUACAGCAUCUGAAAUCUUUCUUUUAAAAGGAUGGUGCAUGGCACAUCAGCCAUUCCUUGACUGAGUUUAAUCUGUACAGUGUAACCGAAUACAGCUUUGGUAAACAAUAUACUACAGCAUCAGACGCGAGACUUCCGUUUCCAAAGCAUUACCAAAGCCAAGCUUGGUGGUCAUCUGUUCCAGUUAGGUGGCGUGUUUUUCUAGCUGAUGAAACCUGUCUCUGCUGACAUGGCCACUCGUCUCUCAACAAAGCACUUCAAACCCAACGUGAGUUACAUGAAUCCACGAUGACCCUGCAGACACACCACUCCGUGUAAAAUUGAUAGCGAAGUUAAACAGACUGCUCUCUGAAGUCCCUGGAUGGUCUUCUCUGAACUUACCUCAAAAAGGUGCUGUAAAGGACUGGAUUUCAGCUUUUCUUUGUCGCCAAACUGUUGGAAACCCACGCCUAGUAAGCCUCGAAUAACAAUUAAAUGCAGAGUUAGACAAGAGCCCAGAGUGCAUUGUUUUAUUCUUUUCACAAGCAAGUCUUAACGCUGUGUGUAAUAAAACAA